UGCCUCGUAGCUCAGUCGGCAGAACAACGGAGAUCUAAUCCGUAGAUUGUCGUUCGAAUCUCAUCGAGGUCAA